rnacentral:lncRNA from 1 species
AAAAGAGGAGGAUUUGUAUGUGUGUGGUGAACUACAAGUGAUUCUUUGUGGUAGUGGUAUAAAAUUUGAGUCAACAAGAGUAAAGGUGAGGUUGGAGAGGUCAGAAUGGGGCAGAUUUUGGCAGGCUUUGCACACAACGGUAAGGAGCUUGAACUUGAUCCUGUAGGUGGUAAGCGGCCAUUCAAGAUUUAAGCAGACAGGGCUCCACCACAUUGCCCAGGCUGGUCUCAAAGUCCUAGGCUCAUGCGAUCCUCCCACCUCAACCUCCCAAAGUGCUGGAACUACAGGUGUCAGCCACAGCCCCCUGUGAGGAUGCUUAAUCACUCGAGGACGGUAUAAAGGUACAGAAGAACAGCGAGCCACAGGUGGGCCUCAUCCCAUCAGCUGAAGGCCUUACAGGAACAAAGAUUGACCUCCCAGUAUAAGAAGUAAUCUGCCAGCAGGCUGCCUUUGGACUCCAACUGCAACUCUUCCCUGGGUUUCCAGCCUGCCAGCCUACCCUGCAGACUUUGGACUUGCACCUCCACAACCAUACGUUUCCAAAAUCUGGAGAGCGGCUGUGAGUUUGCAGUGCAGUAUGGGGAGAGACCAGAACCCACCGGAAGCCUCCAGGUGCUGCAGUGAGGAGGAGCUGGAACCCUUCUCCUCCAGGUGCCAGCUCGCGCUGCUGUGGUUCUCAUCUGUAGAGGACGUGGACCAUCCAGGGAAUCACCUGCAGCUGACAGAGGAAACUCUGAAGCCCACCAGGCCUGUACAGACUGGGGAAACACCAGUGCCUGAGGAUAGUGGCUAAACUGCCAGAGAACAUGGGGCUGAGGUGGAGCCUGGAUGACUCUUCUGCCUCUGAGCAAAGCUGCUUGCCCUACACACAACAGUAUUGUCUUAACAUCUGCUGAGUUCCCAGGUCCUCUUAGCAGCAGGCAGAGGCAUUCAGAGCCCAGACCCCAAAGACAUGCUGAUCUGGUUUAAACCUGACUGUGCUACUCAUCAACUGGGGGACCUAGGCAGGUUACAUUGUCUUUUUGUGCCUCAGUUUCCUCAUCUAUAGAAUAGAGGUAUUCUAGUUUCCUGUGAUUUCUGUAAUAAAUUUACAAACUUUGUAACAAAUUACCACAAAUUUGGUGGCUUCAAACGAUAGAAAUUUAUUCUCUCACAAACCUGGAGACCAAAAGUCUAAAGUCUCUAUCAUUGGACUGAAAUAAAAGUGCAGGUGGGGCCAGACACAGUGGCUCACACUUGUAAUCCCAGCACUUCGGGAGGCCAAGGCGGGCGGAUCAUGAGGUUAGGAGUUUGAGACAAGCCUGGCCAAUAUGGUGAAACCCCGUCUCUACUAAAAAUACAAAAUUAGCCAGGCGUGGUGGUGCAUGCCUGUAAUCCCAGCUACUUGGGAGGCUGAGGCAGGUGUAUCUCUUGAAACCAGGAGGCGGAGGUUGCGGUGAGCCAAAAUCAUGCCAUUGCAC